rnacentral:rRNA from 1 species
GACAGAGGUCCCGAGCGUUAGGCGGAAUCACUGGGCUUAAAGCGUGUGUAGGCGGAUCUGUAAGUACCUUGUGAAAUCCCACAGCUUAACUGUGGAACUGCUUGGUAUACUGCGGAUCUUGAGCCACCUAGGGGCGAGCGGAACAAACGGUGGAGCGGUGAAAUGCGUAGAUAUCGUUUGGAACGCCAAUGGUGAAAACAGCUCGCUGGGGGUGUGCUGACGCUGAGACACGAAAGCCAGGGGAGCAAACGGG